AACACUAAUCCUAUAGCUGCUGCAUGGAAUUGGUGUGCCUACCCUUGAUUAUCAGCUCAAACCAGAGAGAACAGCGAGAUACGUAACCAGGUUACCUUCAAGCAACGAGCCCAGCUUUGCAAGGUGUCCAGAUACCUUAGUUCCCAUAGCAGGAGGAUCUCAGCAGGGUUGGCCUUGCAGGGAUUAGAGAGGGAAAUCUCUUGUCUGAUUAACUCUGCGUGGUCUUGUUCUUGGAACCCAAAGGCAAGCAGGUUGGCUCCUGCAGCUACAGCGAAAAGAAAAACAGGAGAACUGCCCGGCAAGUGGAAGGGAAGUCAGAAUUUGUUGUGGAGAAGCUUUAGAAAAUUGCUAAAACUCAGGAAUCUUUAGGAACAUGGUAACAACAUUCCCUUAAAAAAAAAGGGAACCAAAAAUAUUUGCAAAUUCUUAAUAUAAUGAUAUUUUAUAGCUCAUAGUAAGAAUAAAGUGACACACUCAUAACUGUAAGACCUUUCAGCACAGAAUUGCAAACCUUACUAGCAUCAUGUUUUGGUCCUGGAGGCUGCUUUUGUACUAACUGAUGUUGACAUAUUCACUAAUAUUUGGAGGGCUUUGAGCAAGGAAAUAAUACAUAAGCUGGAGGCAUGUCUGAAGAAAGCAUUCUGUGUACAUAAUGACAUCAUAAACAAAAUUAAAUGUUACAAAAAUACAUUUAUUUUCUCUGGUUAUCUUCCUAUUUUGAAACCUUAGUAUGAAAUGGUAUAAAAAUCUUC